GAUGAACGCUGGCGGCGUGCCUAAUACAUGCAAGUCGAGCGAACAGACGAGGAGCUUGCUCCUCUGACGUUAGCGGCGGACGGGUGAGUAACACGUGGAUAACCUACCUAUAAGACUGGGAUAACUUCGGGAAACCGGAGCUAAUACCGGAUAAUAUAUUGAACCGCAUGGUUCAAUAGUGAAAGACGGUUUUGCUGUCACUAUUGAUGGAUCCGCGCCGCAUUAGCUAGUUGGUAAGGUAACGGCUUACCAAGGCAACGAUGCGUAGCCGACCUGAGAGGGUGAUCGGCCACACUGGAACUGAGACACGGUCCAGACUCCUACGGGAGGCAGCAGUAGGGAAUCUUCCGCAAUGGGCGAAAGCCUGACGGAGCAACGCCGCGUGAGUGAUGAAGGUCUUCGGAUCGUAAAACUCUGUUAUUAGGGAAGAACAAAUGUGUAAGUAACUAUGCACGUCUUGACGGUACCUAAUCAGAAAGCCACGGCUAACUACGUG
rnacentral:rRNA from 1 species